UUUUUCAAUAUACUUUUUUCAUUUAAUUUCAAAGUGCUCGUCCUUGCAAAACAUUACACAAAACGUAACGUCAUACUUAAAAAAACAAAUUCAUCAUCAUUAGCAACAUGUAAAACCCCAAUGAAACUCUACAGUUGUUGUAGAAAAAGUUGAAUCUUUAGUUCUUAGUAAAAUGCUCCCCAAGGCUUAAACUGCAAUAUAUUUCCAAUGUAACCAUAGUUCAAAAGAUCAGAGCAAACUAAUCUCACUGAUUCCACACAACAACAAUAAAUAAUAAAACAAUGUUGAAGUCCGACAGACUGGUAUACAGUUAUACAUGAGAUGGGCGUGAUUAGUUUUUGCAUUAGUAACAGAGGGGCAUUGAAUUGAAUGGGAGGUUGCGUUGCGACUUAGAGCGCGACAGGGGGCGAGACCGACGAUCGAGGCACGCAGGCGCGCAGACAGAGAGCAAGCGGAAUUCUCAUCUCAUCGCACCACCACGCGAGCGGAAUCUGCAGGCGCCACUCGCUUUCUAUGCAAAUCACAACCAGAGUCUGCACCCUUUUCGCCUCUGGCACUGGAAGGUCCACUGCAAAACGCAUUCUUACGAGCAAUCCCAUGUCAGCAAUCAGAAAGAGGGAGACUCACAGAGAGAGAGGAGGAAAAGAGAAAGAAAGCGAGUACGGCGCAAUAUAAGGUUCAAAGAUUGUGCUAGCCGCGGCGAUAUGCGCAGUGACUUAAGAUGUCAGGGCGAAGCUGCGGGGGUGCAGACCCCAGCUGGGCACAGCCGUGGCUGUCAGCGCACGAAUUCGGCAAGUUUGUAAUGGGUGUGUGCGUACGAGCUGUGGAUUUGGAGGAGGCUUAUCUGAAUUAGUGUCCAUGGUUGUUAGAAGGAGGGCUGACGGCUGAUUUCAUGAGAUUCCGGACACUGCAGCUUCAUAAUCCGGGCAGGACACGAGCUGUGGUGAGUUUGCACCGUUUUGAAGUAGACCUGGUCUACCUGAGCGCCCUUGUGUCGUAUACAACCGAUUGUGAGCGCGAUCAAUGAUAAAAUUGCGAAGGAAUAGUACCACAGUACCGUCCCAGGCUACGAUGUCGACUUCGGGUGGCGACAUACUGUAAUUACUUGCGUCUGGCAAAUUCAUGCACUCAACAUUGUGCCGAUGCUCGUCAUGAACAUUAUUUUACUUGUGAGAAAUAACCAUAUAUGAUUAGAUGUCAGCUACUGAGAAAAAAAUCAUGUGCCCUGUUCGUCCAUGAGGACGUGAUAUAAUUCUUCAGAAAUGUGAGAAAAUUGUCUGUGAGUUGGGUUGCCAUCUCUUCAUUA